UGGAGGCUCAGUCAAGUGGUGGG
rnacentral:piRNA from 1 species